GAUGAACGCUGGCGGCGUGCCUAAUACAUGCAAGUCGAGCGAACGGACGAGAAGCUUGCUUCUCUGAUGUUAGCGGCGGACGGGUGAGUAACACGUGGAUAACCUACCUAUAAGACUGGGAUAACUUCGGGAAACCGGAGCUAAUACCGGAUAAUAUUUUGAACCGCAUGGUUCAAAAGUGAAAGACGGUCUUGCUGUCACUUAUAGAUGGAUCCGCGCUGCAUUAGCUAGUUGGUAAGGUAACGGCUUACCAAGGCAACGAUGCAUAGCCGACCUGAGAGGGUGAUCGGCCACACUGGAACUGAGACACGGUCCAGACUCCUACGGGAGGCAGCAGUAGGGAAUCCUCCGCAAUGGGCGAAAGCCUGACGGAGCAACGCCGCGUGAGUGAUGAAGGUCUUCGGAUCGUAAAACUCUGUUAUUAGGGAAGAACAUAUGUGUAAGUAACUGUGCACAUCUUGACGGUACCUAAUCAGAAAGCCACGGCUAACUACGUG
rnacentral:rRNA from 1 species